AACGAACGCUGGCGGCAUGCCUAACACAUGCAAGUCGAACGAGACCUUCGGGUCUAGUGGCGCACGGGUGCGUAACGCGUGGGAAUCUGCCCUUAGGUUCGGAAUAACUCAGGGAAACUUGAGCUAAUACCGGAUAAUGACGUAAGUCCAAAGAUUUAUCGCCUAGGGAUGAGCCCGCGUAGGAUUAGCUAGUUGGUGGGGUAAAAGCCUACCAAGGCGACGAUCCUUAGCUGGUCGAGAGGAUGAUCAGCCACACUGGACUGAGACACGGCCCAGACUCCUACGGGAGGCAGCAGUGGGGAAUAUUGGACAAUGGGCGAAAGCCUGAUCCAGCAAUGCCGCGUGAGUGAUGAAGGCCUUAGGGUUGUAAAGCUCUUUUACCCGGGAUGAAUAAUGACAGUACCGGGAGAAUAAGCUCCGCUAACUCCGUGCCAGCCGCCGCGGUAAC
rnacentral:rRNA from 1 species